GAUGAACGCUAGCGGGAGGCCUAACACAUGCAAGCCGAGCGGUAGAGUUUCUUCGGAAACUUGAGAGCGGCGCACGGGUGCGUAACACGUGUGCAACCUACCUUUAUCUGGGGGAUAGCCUUUCGAAAGGAAGAUUAAUACCCCAUAAUAUAAUGAUUGUCAUCAAUUAUUAUUGAAAACUCCGGUGGAUAGAGAUGGGCACGCGCAAGAUUAGAUAGUUGGUGAGGUAACGGCUCACCAAGUCAAUGAUCUUUAGGGGUCCUGAGAGGGAGAUCCACCAGACUUGUACUGAGACACGGACCAGACUGCUACGGGAGGCAGCAGUGAGGAAUAUUGGACAAUGAGUGAGAGCCUGAUCCAGCCAUCCCGCGUGAAGGAUGACGGUCCUAUGGAUUGUAAACUUCUUUUGUACAGGGAUAAACCUACCCUCGUGAGGGUAGCUGAAGGUACUGUACGAAUAAGCACCGGCUAACUCCGUG
rnacentral:rRNA from 1 species